rnacentral:rRNA from 1 species
AUUGAACGCUGGCGGCAGGCCUAACACAUGCAAGUCGAGCGGAUGAAGGGAGCUUGCUCCUGGAUUCAGCGGCGGACGGGUGAGUAAUGCCUAGGAAUCUGCCUGGUAGUGGGGGAUAACGUCCGGAAACGGGCGCUAAUACCGCAUACGUCCUGAGGGAGAAAGUGGGGGAUCUUCGGACCUCACGCUAUCAGAUGAGCCUAGGUCGGAUUAGCUAGUUGGUGGGGUAAAGGCCUACCAAGGCGACGAUCCGUAACUGGUCUGAGAGGAUGAUCAGUCACACUGGAACUGGGACACGGUCCAGACUCCUACGGGAGGCAGCAGUGGGGAAUAUUGGACAAUGGGCGAAAGCCUGAUCCAGCCAUGCCGCGUGUGUGAAGAAGGUCUUCGGAUUGUAAAGCACUUUAAGUUGGGAGGAAGGGCAGUAAGUUAAUACCUUGCUGUUCUGACGUUACCAACAGAAUAAGCACCGGCUAACUUCGUG